rnacentral:rRNA from 1 species
GACGAACGCUGGCGGCGUGCUUAACACAUGCAAGUCGAACGGAAAGGCCCUGCUUUUGUGGGGUGCUCGAGUGGCGAACGGGUGAGUAACACGUGAGUAACCUGCCCUUGACUUUGGGAUAACUUCAGGAAACUGAGGCUAAUACCGGGUAGGAGCUCCUGCUGCAUGGUGGGGGUUGGAAAGUUUCGGCGGUUGGGGAUGGACUCGCGGUUUAUCAGCUUGUUGGUGGGGUAGUGGCGUACCAAGGCUUUGACGGGUAGCCGGCCUGAGAGGGUGACCGGCCACAUUGGGACUGAGAUAGGGGCCAGACUCCUACGGGAGGCAGCAGUGGGGAAUAUUGCACAAUGGGCGGAAGCCUGAUGCAGCAACGCCGCGUGCGGGAUGACGGCCUUCGGGGUGUAAACCGCUUUCGCCUGUGACGAAGCGUGAGUGACGGUAAUGGGUAAAGAAGCACCGGCUAACUACGUG